rnacentral:rRNA from 1 species
ACCGAAUAGAUACCCUGGUAGUCCACGCCCUAAACGAUGCGAACUGGAUGUUGGGUACAUUACGGUACUCAGUGUCGAAAGCUAAACGCGUUAAGUUCGCCGCCUGGGGAGUACGGUCGCAAGACUGAAACUCAAAGGAAUUGACGGGGGCCGGCACAAGCGGUGGAGUAUGUGGUUUAAUUUACGAUGCAACGCGAAGAACCUUACCUGGCCUUGACAUCUGUCGAAUCCUGCAGAGAUGCGGGAGUGCCGCAAGGAACGACAAGACAGGUGCUGCAUGGCUGUCGUCAGCUCGUGUCGUGAGAUGUUGGGUUAAGUCCCGCAACGAGCGCAACCCUUGUCCCUAGUUGCCAGCACGUAAUGGUGGGAACUCUAGGGAGACUGCCGGUGACAAACCGGAGGAAGGUGGGGAUGACGUCAAGUCCUCAU